UACGUAGGUGGCAAGCGUUAUCCGGAUUUAUUGGGCGUAAAGAGAACUCAGGCGGUCUUUUAAGUCUGAUGUGAAAGCCUUCGGCUUAACCGGAGUAGUGCAUUGGAAACUGGGAGACUUGAGUGCAGAAGAGGAGAGUGGAACUCCAUGUGUAGCGGUGAAAUGCGUAGAUAUAUGGAAGAACACCAGUGGCGAAAGCGGCUCUCUGGUCUGUAACUGACGCUGAGGUUCGAAAGCGUGGGUAGCAAACAGG
rnacentral:rRNA from 1 species